GUCUGCUUUCUCUAGGGUUGCAGUUCCACCCCUUUCUCCCUCUCCUUUUCCUUGUGCUGGCACUGGCUUCUGCUUGACCCUUCCCCAAGGCAAUUGAGCUCGACGAGCUGAUGAAAAACUAGCUCAACAGUGACAGUGAGUAGUUUUCUGCUGGUUUUGUGAUCAGCACAGAGGAGGCUGAUGAGGCAGCCCAUGGCUGGGGCCACUGAUCUUCAGAUCCCUGGGGCUUCGGCUGGGCAGCGCUGGCUGCUCACGCCAGCAAGGUGCACGGGCCUUUGCCUCCCCUCGGCAAGUGUCCAUGCUCUGCCCCCCUCUUCAAACCUCGCAGCUCUUGGAGCACCUCCGUUGUAGGAGUGUUUUCUUUCACUGGGAUUGAACAAGCGUAUCGCUGUAUUACUUCUGCCUGGUAGGUGUUGGAAUCACAGCGCACUGAAAAUGAGACAGGUCAAUCAACCAGCUUGAGACAAUCUUAUCACGGAAAAGCCUGACCUGGAUGAUUAGAAUUUGCCUGUGUUACAGGCAACUGAAAAGAAGGUCCUAGAUAGAAACCGUGAGGCAACCUGAGCUGUAGAUACAGCCACCGAGCUGUAGUAAACUCUUCCCUCAUGCACAGAUGCUAGAGAUGCAGGUGAAAAUGCGGGUUCAGGAGGAACUCCCCACCCAGGUCUUCUGUAGGAAGUUAGUUUAGCCUUCAUUGCUCAACUGUGAGUCAAGGUCUUAAAUCAGCUUUCUUCAGUGAGGAAUCUGAGUUUGUGAACGGCCGACAGCCAGCACUGUGUGGAGGGAGCAGCCCUGCUGUGUCUGUGCCACCAGGCAGCUCGAUUCUCUCCUUACUAGUACUUCCCAUUCACCAAAACCAUACGAGUCCUCCAGUAUUUUGUACCUAUCUAGAUAGAUUUAUACGUUCUACCAUAUGAAGGAAUCAGUGCUCUAGUUUUUCUAGACUUUCUGCUAUAUGAAAGAAAAAACUUUUUUCCUGAAUUUCAGGGGGCUUAGUGUGGAUGUAGUCACCAAAUGACACAGAAAUAUAGGAUUAGGGGCUCGAUCAGAAAGUAAGCAAUUGUGAUUCAAAGUGAUCACAAUGCAAGAAGUUCUGGUAGGUGCACAAAAUGAGAGUUUUGCAUAGAUUUAUUUUUUCUAACUGCAGCAUUUUAAGAUCUAAUCAGACUCCACCAACACAUGACAACCCAAGGCUAUCCUACUAUUCUAUCAUGUUUUUGGAGUUUAAUAGGGCACUGUGCGUGGAUGUGUACAGAGGUCUAUAUGCCUACAAGAAGUUACAGAAUUACGGCCUAUAAAAAGAUGUAUUAGGUUUUCACUCUUCUGGCAUCGUGAAACAGAUGGAUUAAGUUAGCUGGUAGUAAGACAGAAUUUGCUUUAGUUCUUAUAAACUCAUCAAGAUUCUUGUUCAUGAUAAACAGAUCCAUGUAUCUAUGAGAAGUCCUAUGGACUGCAGCAGCCCACGAAUGGGAAUCUGAGUGCAGGGUUGGCAGAAUCAGAUGGCACCAUCCUAGUGACCAAUAAUGACACGGGAGCCAAAACGAAUGCAAGUUAUUUUCACAACGCAGGAUUUUGUCCAAAAUCAUGGGGGUUUGGUGAUUGUGAUCCUCGCUUCCUCUGUGACGAUGUGAAAUUACAUCUUCCCAACCAUGAAGUGGUUCAGAAGAAAUUCCGGUUUCUGCAGUUUGAUGGGAUUUGUAGCGAUUAUCCCAAGAAGAUAUCCUUUGGAAGAUAGAUAUUCUUUUGGAAGACAUCCUGGAAGAAUCUACAAUGCUCUUAUAUGUCAAGAGGUAUAAAGCACGAGCAACUGCGACCAGCUGCCCUCCCAUCCUGCUCCAUGGACACCAAAAAAUGCAGAACCUGAAACUUAGCAAAUGGAUGUAUUCCAGGGAUUUGGAUGAAGAAACUGAAUCCUUCUUCACUCUCUGAGAUACUUGAACAAAAUAAUACUGUAGGAAGGUUUUGCAGCGUAGCUGGGUGAAAUGAAGUUUGAGGAAAAUGGUAUGGCACACAUUCAAGGAUGGAUAAAGAAGGAAUGAGGAGAUGCUCUAUGAUGAAUAAAAGCACCAAAUCAGUUCACAAACACAAAAACUGGACCAUUUUCAAAAAAGUCAGGUGCACAGUGAGUGGAAGCUGUUCCAAGUCUCAUGCUUAUACAGCAGCCAGCAGAUGUUUUACAUCCAUGUCUGAGCAACCAGCUCUCUUCUCAUCAGUAUUAAGUGUUCAGCUGACAUUAAAGGGACAGACAGAAUUAAAACUGAGAGCUCAGAAACCUAAGCAGCUUUUCUGAAGUUUGCUAUGUCUACUAAUUAUUGCACAUGCUUCUUUUUUUCUCAAAAGUAUUAAUGAACAUUUUAAAAAUGAGAAGAAUCAUGAGAAAAGCAGCCACGGACACAUAAACAGCUCAAUAAUAACAACAUAUAAAUAUUCUCAAGCAAUAAAUGUGGAAAACACAUAUGAAAACAACAUGACAAAAUUUCAAGAGAUUAGUAUAAAAAAUACAGGAAAGAGACAGAAGUGGCUGCCAAAGGCCUUUGAAUACAGUCCUGUUAACCUCUUCCCCUUCCUGGAUUUUGUGACCUGCUUUGUAAAGUAGUUACAGAUUUGCAUACCAUGUCUGACAGCUCAAAAAAUCACACCACUUUUACAUAACAAAUAUAAGUAGAGAUUAUUUGGUAUAAUAUGUCAUAGAUCAAAGAGCAUUGGGGUCCAGGUACUCACUCUGACUCCACCUUGACUGCAUACUAGGGGGAAAGCCAGAUGUUUGUGCUCCUUUUCCUUCCGUGAGGCUCUUUUCCACCCGAGGAAGACCUAGACAGGUGAGAAAGGAGGGGCUGGUGAUGUACUUGAACAGGUCCCCCAAUGUGGGAUAUCAGUGACUAUUAAUACAGGAUUUACCUUCGAGUGCACCUGAACCACAGUUUUGAUAUCAAGGUCAAGAAAGAAUUGAAGCUCUACCCUAAAGGACUUAGAAUAUCUGUGCAAAUGUAAGUACAUGCUUAUUUUUAAGGAAUGAAAUGAACUACUCGCUUGAUUUAUUCAUCCAGAACUGAAUCAGUAGAUUGACUUUUAGAUUAAUAGGCUAACUUUUAAAUGACAAGAGUUUCACUGUAAGUAAUGUGUGGUUCAAAACUUCUUCUAUUUUAUAUUAAGGGGAAAAAAAGGCUGUGGCGAGGUGAGCGGCUCUGAAGGCAGAUAUGUUCCAGGGGUAACGGGUUGUAGUGCAAAAGGUGCUGAGUGGUUGGAGGGAAAACUCAACAAAUUUAAGAGACACUUUUGUAUCCUGCAAAUAAUGUAAUGUGGACUGUGUAUGAAUUGGAUUUAUUUGGAUACCAGUAUCUUAGUCAGACAUCAUAGUUUUUCUCUAGCCAGCUUAAUACAGCUAAGAAAUUUGUAACUGUAAUGCAGAUAAGUUUCUGAUGCUGAGUCCCACAUCCUAUAUACGUCCUUCAUUCUUCCAUCUGUCCUGGUAACAAAAACAUGGCAUCUGAACUCAUACCCUACUUUUGGUCAUUAGGUGUAUUUAGGGAAAAUAAUGUACAGACCAUUACUUUUCAGCACAAAGUUUCCAAAGCAUUUUCCAGUGCAAAUGCCUAACCCUACUUGCAAGACUUCUCCUUUGUAUUUACCUUAUCUCACAGUCCUUGGAAUCACUUGCGGAGUCCCAGAGAUGCUCAGAGCAUGGACAGAAAACUAGAAGCGUAGAGGGUUCCUCUCUUUCUUCCCAUAGUCAGCAGCUUAGGGACUUGCUGAGCUAAAGGUUGCACCCUUGCCACCAUAUGUAACCACUUCUGCCCUCUGUUCGUUUCUUUUCUUUCCUCUCCAUCACUUUCUUUGAACUCCACAUUCAUUCUCUGCUCUUUUUUCUCCCUUAUCAAAUAUGUCCUCAUCUUCAUUUUCAAGAACUUCCCUGGCAUGUUUGCACUGUGUUGUCACUCCUGAUUCUCUAUAAAGAUACUGAUUCCAGCCACCAGCUGGCCAUUUGUUGCAUUUCUCGAUGCAUCCCUUUGGUGCUUCCUCCCAUGCAGCCAUCACAUAUGGGAGAAGAAUGCCAUAAACAUUUAUGCAGUGAAUGCAUUGUGCUUUUCAAAGCUUUCCAGCAAAAAUCUUGAAACUCUUAUGCUGCAGGUAUGCGCAAAGUACUGUCACCCCCAUGCUGACCAAUAAUGACUUCUUGAUUUUCCUGUCUGCUUGUUUGUAUCCACCCGAGUGUUGUCUCGUACACUUGGAUUGUAAAGUUUUCUGGGACCCUGUCCUUUUUACAAGCUUUGCGCAAUUCCUAGUGCAAGAAGGUCUUGAUCAGUGAGUAGUGCUUCUGAGCGUGACAGGAAUUACAGACAAGGAUUCUGACAAAAAAUAGCAGUUCUCACUCUUCUUCUGAUACUCCAGUGCCUGUAUUUUACAAGCUUUUCGGUGUGUGAGUAGACAGGAAAGAUCACUUCCUCAGAACAGUAGGCAAAAAUUUAAGCAUAGCUUGGACACAAGGAACUUGAAAACAAGUUUCAAUCUGAAGGUGAUGCUUGGGUUAUAAAUCUGGCAAUCAGAAGAAUCGUGCUGUCAAUAAUGAUUACAAAGGCUGUAGGAGAGAGGAGAUCUUUUGUUGGGCAGACAGCAGAGCACAGUGAUAUAUAUGGGUUGCGAGAGAGGAAUCACUUCUCUUUCAAGCUCUCUUGCUUAAAAGUGAGAAAAAGUAGGAGAAGAUUCAUAGCACUGCAACUCGCCAGGCUGCUCUGUGUUUGCAUGAGCUGUACAUCAGUCACUUUGCCCAUCUGGGAAAUGUAAGAGGCUCAGAAGUCCAGGCCCAGAAAAUUCAUCUCCUAGAGGGACCUAAUAAUAACUAAUGUAAAGGUGCACUGUUAUGUACUGAAGAUGAUCCUGCAGUCCCUAAAAUCCAGCACUGACGGCUACUGUUUUUGUGGAGGAACGUUUCUGUGGCACGCUGCCAAGGGACAGUGAGAGUCUUUCAGAGGCAGAUUUCUGCCCACAGCAGAUGGAAGUAACAGCCUUUAGUUGCAAACAGAAGCCUAACAACAGCAAGAAAGGACACGACCGUGUAGAAACAGUGGCACAGACAAAGCUGAUGAUGCUUUUAAGGCAGAUGCGUACCACAAAUACCUUGUGAAGGGAAUGUGCAAUGAGCAGCGAGGGACCAAGAACCUUCUCAUGAAGUGCAAGUCAAUUAUCUAUGCAUAUAUCCUCCUAUGUUAGCCGAUGGCAUCUAUUCUUAAUAUCCGCUGUUAAGUAUUUGUGUGUUCACACAUCUUAUGUCGAACUGUGUAAACAAACUGUGUUUCCAGAAAUGCUCUGUACUCAUCUUAUGUUCUACUGUGAAAAUCCAUUAGUAGUUAAAUUCUUGUCAUCCUUGUGCAAUAUACCAAAAAGAUUUGUAACCUUGUUAGUGAACUCAGCAAAGAAAGAGAUAAAAAUAAGCUCUGAUAAUGUCACUGUGGGUCUGUUUGGGCUUUUUUUUUUUUUUUCCUUUUAGGUUGAGUAGAGGGUAAGAUAAAAGAGAAAUACAUGAAAUACAUGAAAGUGCCCUUUCUCUUGUAAACCAGUGAGCUAUAGAUGUUAGUGCUGGAGCUAUAAAAUUUGUUUUUAACCUUCCCUACAUGUUCCAUAUAUACCCCAUACGUAUAAAGUGCUAGGGUUGUCAUGCCACAUCUUUUCAAUUAACAGUGUUCACUGCAGACAUAUCUGGGCACUCUUGUCGAAGAGCCCCAAGUCCUACAGCUCCUGUCCACAGCCUCACCAUAAAGACUAUGCCCAUGUUAGUAAGGCUGGCAGAGGGACUCUGAACAGAUGAAGUUCUUGGGCUUCCCAGGAGCAGCCGAUGCCAUGUUUACGUCCUUCAUGUGUCUACCAUGUGAAACAAGCAAGUAUAUGAGCAGCUUUUGGGACAUUCAAGGAGGCUUGCACUGAAGGAUGCAUUACACUCAGCUGUCCCAACCAUCUGGAGUGUUUCUGUGUGGGCAAACAGGUUCGUAGUUUCCCCCUGCCAACACAGUCACCAGAGAGAUGCGUGUGGUUCCCCUGCCUUCGGGGAACUCUAGGCAGCUGGGUAUGUGCCAGAUAGACUUGCCAAAGUUUAAGAAGUACCUUAGUGGGAGCAGGAGUGGGUCUUUGACUGACUGGCCUGGUAGGUGUCUAAUUUAGGAUGAGCUCGGUAGCUGUCCAGGCCCCAGUAACUCUAAGGACUUGGUCUCCAUUGCUUGAAAUGGAAGUUUAGGUAUGUGGCUCACAGGCAGUUGCCUACGUUUAAUAGCUAAAUUUAGAUGUCUACAAUCUGGAACUGAAUUACACUCCAUAUUUCCCGUUACAGCUCAUGACCUGGCAAAAAUACUCAGCCAGAAGUAUCUUCUGAAACUCUUUGACCUCCUUCAUUUCCACUCUUUCCACUACUCUGAAACAGUCCUCACACACCUCCACAAUUAGGUCAUCUUUGUCCUUUGUCACUUUGACCUCCAAUUCUGAGUCUUUUUACUCAUACUGAACAGUCUCGCUGCCUUUUUGUAACAGACAUGAGACUUUGGAAGCCCAGAAAAAGCAAAAAUUGGAUCUCCAGACUCUGAUACAUUAAUCUAUGAAUAUACAUGAGAUGUUCAUAGGUUAAUGUAUCAAUAGGUGUCCUUUCCAUGUCUUUGAGAUCCUAGAAUCACUGGAGGGUAGUUAAGAUUAAUCUUAUGGCUGGUAAACAAGCUUUGUGCCCUCAAGAAAAUGACUAUACUAGUGGAUUCUGGCUCAACAGGACAAAAAGCAAGGAGGGAGAAGGGCACCUCCGAACAGGGUCAAUGAAAGACAUGCAGAAGCACACACUUGACAGAAGAACUAAUAACCGCAAGCAUCUGUUAAACCUGAUAAAGAGUAUUUUUUCCAUCAAAUAUUUACCAUCCUGAUAUUACUCUGUAAUGUUUUUGUCUUGAAACAAUGUGAUGCUUUUGAAAGGCAACUGAGUCACUUGCGUAAUCACCAGGAACUGCAACAGGUCAGCAGCUUUAAUAAACUCAGCCUAAGAGGGAGGGAAGUAGGUCCCCCCUCUGAGAAAGGAAAGACCUGAGGCCUCAGCCUUGACCCACAGGUAUGAGAAGGAUAGUUAAGCCCAAACCUCCGGCACUUCUUUUUCCUUGGUGAAUUUGAUAAAAGUGCUUUUCAACCUGAUAAACACAGGGUGCAUUAAGACUGCGCGUGCACAGCUGCAAAUGAAAGGCAUCACAUUUUAUCUCAAAAGAACGGCAUUCAGUUUGCUGAUUUUCCUAACCAGCAAACUCCUGUCUGCUCUGAAGCAUUAUAAAAGAGCUCUUCCAGAAAAAAACCAAGAGUGAUUAAUAUUUAAUUCCCAAUGCUUUCCCUCCCCGUUACACAGUUUCUUUGUAGAGAAGCAGUUCUGAAUGCCUGAGCAGAAGGGGCAGCCUGUUAAAUCCUUUUUAGGCUGUUACAACCUUAAAAUGUGCCGCUUUGGUUGCCAGAAUAGAGGCAGGACCAGUUACUAGAAGCCUCAGGGAGGUGACUUUUUGUCUAUGCAAGGGAAAUCUUUCUGCUGCUUGUGACAGAUGAACUGAUAAGUGGCUGGAUGGGGACUGCGAGCAACAGCAAUAGAAGGUGGACGCUUGCCAUGCCAAUAUAUCUCAGAGACCAGAUGGAGUUUUUACUGAGCAAAAUGUAUAUUUUA